rnacentral:rRNA from 1 species
GAGGGAGCUUGCUCCCUCUGGAUCAGUGGCGAACGGGUGAGUAACACGUGAGUAACCUGCCCUUGACUCUGGGAUAAGCGUUGGAAACGACGUCUAAUACCGGAUACGAGCUUCAGCCGCAUGGCUAGGAGCUGGAAAGAAUUUCGGUCAAGGAUGGACUCGCGGCCUAUCAGCUAGUUGGUGAGGUAAUGGCUCACCAAGGCGACGACGGGUAGCCGGCCUGAGAGGGUGACCGGCCACACUGGGACUGAGACACGGCCCAGACUCCUACGGGAGGCAGCAGUGGGGAAUAUUGCACAAUGGGCGAAAGCCUGAUGCAGCAACGCCGCGUGAGGGACGACGGCCUUCGGG